GUACAGAGAAGGUAUCAUCUGUGAAGAACAGGACCUCAUCAGACACUAGAUCUGCUGGCACCUUGAUCUUGGAUUUCCCAGCCUCCAGAAUUACAUAUUGAGCAUCCACCAUCGGCCAGGCAGAUCAAAGAAUGGAUCUGGGAGGGAAGUAGUGAGUGGAUGAAGAGAAACACAAAAAAGCUGAAAAUGCCAGACACAUCCCGAUCUCCCUUGCACCAAGCAGAGCCGUGGCCUGGGCUCAGCCAAUCAGACUCAUCGCUCCUGAGCUGAAUUACAAGCGAAUGAAGUGGAGAAGGAGGGACCCUGCAGGAUCCAUUCUAGCAAGGGCGUUGGCAGCCACAGCAGCCACAACAGUUUCCCCGAGGCGGCAGAUCUGGUGGCUGCAUCUGAAUGGAACAGCAGAGGGCUGGCAUUGUAAACUAUGAGCUGCAGGUCCACAGCAGCAACAGCGGAGUCUGCACAGGGCCGGUUCUGAGCCUGCUUUCCAACAUCAUCCCAGCUGUAUGGCCUCCAAGGCUGGUUUUAGGCUCUCUCAUAUACUCUGUGUGCUAUCCAAUAUCCUACAAUAAAUUCCUUUCUGGUGUAAAUCAGGAAAAAUUAGUUUGUUGCUUGCAAACUAAGCACCCUGGCUGUUAUAUGCACAACUUCUGGAAGGGCACACAGACACAAUCCAUUACUAAAAUGACUAGUCUUAUUGAAAGCUUUCUA
rnacentral:lncRNA from 10 species